UACGUAGGGUGCGAGCGUUGUCCGGAAUUAUUGGGCGUAAAGGGCUCGUAGGCGGUUUGUCGCGUCGGGAGUGAAAACACCGGGCUUAACUCGGUGCUUGCUUUCGAUACGGGCAGACUAGAGGCAUGCAGGGGGAGAACGGAAUUCCUGGUGUAGCGGUGAAAUGCGCAGAUAUCAGGAGGAACACCGGUGGCGAAGGCGGAUCUCUGGGCCAUUACUGACGCUGAGGAGCGAAAGCGUGGGUAGCGAACAGG
rnacentral:rRNA from 1 species